rnacentral:rRNA from 1 species
GAUGAACGCUAGCUACAGGCUUAACACAUGCAAGUCGAGGGGUAACGAGAGGAAAGCUUGCUUUCCUUGUCGACGACCGGCGCACGGGUGAGUAACGCGUACCCAACCUGCCCCCAACUAAGGAAUAACCUUGCGAAAGUAAGACUAAUACCUUAUAAUUUCCUCAGAUGACAUCUGACGAGGAAUAAAGAUUUAUCGGUUGUGGAUGGGGAUGCGUCUGAUUAGCUUGUUGGCGGGGUAACGGCCCACCAAGGCAACGAUCAGUAGGGGUUCUGAGAGGAAGGUCCCCCGCAUUGGAACUGAGACACGGUCCAAACUCCGACGGGAGGCAGCAGUGAGGAAUAUUGGUCAAUGGGCGGAAGCCUGAACCGGCCAAGUAGCGUGCAGGAUGACGGCCCUAUGGGUUGUAAACUGCUUUUAUACAGGAAUAAAGUUAGCCACGUGUGGUUAUUUGUAGGUACUGUAUGAAUAAGGACCGGCUAAUUCCGUGCCAGCCGCCGCCAUAA